rnacentral:rRNA from 1 species
GGUUUUAAGCUUUAAAUUUUAAAAUCUGACCUGCCCUAUGCUAAGAGUAAAUGGCUGCGGUAUAUUGACCGUGCAAAGGUAGCAUAAUAAUUUGUCUAUUAAUUGUGGUCUGGAAUGAAAGGUUUGACGUAGUGAAAUCUUUAUUGAAAAUAAAUAUGAAUUUUAAUUGUUAGUAAAAAUGCUAAUAUAAAGCAAAAAGACAAGAAGACCCUGUUAAGUUUUACAUUAAAGAUUGUAGAUGUUAGUAAUUAAAGUUUUCUGAUAUGUUUAGUUGGGGCGACUAUAAUCUAUUAAACGGUUAUAUUAAAUUUUCUGUGAUAGCAGUAAUGAUUCGAUAUUAUCAAAUAUUAGAAUAAAUUACUACAGGGAUAACAGCGUAAUUUAUUUGGAGAGUUCUCAUCGAUAAAGAAGUUUGCGACCUCGAUGUUGGAUUAGGAUUCCUUUUUGGUGCAGUUGUUAAAGAAGGUAGUCUGUUCGACUAUUAAAUUCCUACA